UCAACUAGAAACCUCCAUACACAAUUACUAUCCCCUCUCUCUCUCUUUCUACCGUAGACAUACAUAUCACCCUCCUCCUUUUUACUUCAUUUUCUUCCAAUUUAGAGAGGAGAGAGUACAUGAUAGAAAGUAGAAAGAGAAAGAGAUACGGAAGAGAGAGAGAAACUCAAGAGAGACCGCGGGUGACAUGAAGUUGUUGAGGGUUGUUGUGUGGUUCCAAUGACGGUAAUGAUCGGCGGCAGCAAGGACGUCACCAGAUAUUGUUUGUUGUUCGGCAGAGUUUCGGAGUCGGGAAUAAAAACUUCGGGAGCUAACUGUUGGUGAAAUCCGGUCAGUGGUGAACAGUGGUCAUCAGUGACGGUUGAUACUGUUAGUGACGGUUGAUACUGUUUGGUGGUUGUUCGCCUCUUGGCAAACACAGGUUAGUGGCGGACCCAGGAUUUUUUACCACUGGGGUCCAGUUUUUGUGUUAGAAUUUUUCACAACCAAACAUUAAAAUUUUCGGGUCGGUCAUCGUAGUCGGGUCGGGUCGGAGUUAGGAAAUAAUGUAGAAGCAUUUAGUGGACAUGAAACCAACACAUUAUUAAGAACCAUUUUUAAGAAUCAAGUUAUCAAAUUGUGGUGAUUAAUAAGUUGCUUGAAACCAAAGGCUAUCUGAUAAAAUAAACUAAAAAAAAAAAUGUAAGACUUGAACUUGAGACCUUUGUUGGAACACAAGGGGAUUUACCACCAUACCAUCUUUGCUUUUAAUAUUAUGGGGUGCAACUAAUUUAUUUUAUGGGGUCCUUGAAAAAUUUAACAUACCGGUUCUACUAUUAUUUUAAAUAACAUUGGGGUCUGUGGACCCCGACCCGCACCAUAUAGGUCCGCCCCUGUGUUGGGAUGGUGGUUUAAGACCAUGGCUUCUCAAAUGGGUUCGCUGUGAUGGAUUUGAUGCCAUUAAAAACGAUUUUAUAUUUGGUUUACAUAUUUUGCCAUUUCGAUUAGGGAUGGCAAUCAAACCCGAACCCGCUGGGUAAACCCGAAACCUGACACGUUUGGGACGGGUUUGGGGUCGGUUAAUCGGGUUUGGUACGGGUUUGGGAAUAGUUUUUUUUUUCUUCGCGGGUUUGGGACGGGUUUGGGAUUUAGUGAUAUACCCGUUUACCCGACCCAAUUACCCGAUAAAGUGUACCCGUUUACCCGAUUGUAUACUCGAUAUAAUUUCUUUUAUAUUAUUAAAUAUGUAUAUAUAUGAUACAUCCAUUUUUUACACAUAUAGUUAUUCUAUUCCGUAUACAUUGUAGUUAUUUGAUAUAUAUUUUUAUAAUGACGAUAUAAAAUGUAACCGGUUAGUAGUUACCCGAUAAUAUCCAAUGGGUUUUGAGAUGAGUAUACCCAACGAGUAAUCUUUUUAAAUUAACGGGUUUACCCGAAACCCACGGGUAUACCCGAUACCCGAUGGGUAUUUACCCGCUAGAAACCCGACGGUUUUGGGACGGGUUUGGGACAAACUUAUCUAACCGGGUUUGGGUUUGGGAUUACCUAAACCCGUCCCAAACCCAUUGCCAUCCCUAAUUUCGAUGAUUUAUUAAAGAUAUUAAUUAAGUUAGUUAUUUAUCAUUUUAUUUAACUUUUGUUAUUAGAAAUAAAUUUAAUAUUCAUUAAGUUAGUUAUUUAUCAUUUUAUUUAACUUUUGUUAUUCAGAAAUAAAUUUACUAUCAAAAUUAAUAUUUUUCAAGUUAUCCUAAGCUGUACUCAAACUCCUUCCUUAGAGAUAAAUUGUGAUUUUAACUUUCUUCACUAAAUGAUAUACAUAAUUACUAAUACAAAACUUUUAAUUAAGAGGUUUCAAGUCAGGUCAGAUUUGGUCAUCAACAGUCACCCGGGGGAUUUAAAUAUAUAUAAACGAUGAACCGAUAGCGUAUCAAGUGUGAGACAUAACGACCUAAGACACCGUACUCGACAAUAUAUAUUUAUGUGAAAACAUAAGAACAGAUAUGUUAGUUUGGACUUUAGGUAUGCAUAAACCAGAUAUGAUUUUAUUUAACAUAUGCCUAAACACGACAUAUGAGACGUGGGAUACAAAUAUUACAUUAGCUGAUUAACUUGGACAAGUAGCUACGACACGCAGGACAUUAGACGUUUACACAAUUAGGUGAUAAGACACGACCUUCAAGACAUGAGACUCGGAGAUAUACAGAUAAGUACACAUGCCGAGCCUACAAAAUUUAUUAAAAAUUGGGUCGCCCCGCCGCGGAGCGCGGAUUUUACCCACUAGUUAUUAUAUAUAAGCUUAAAGUUUAUAAAUAAUAAACUUCAAAUCCAUUUAAUUUUAUAAAAAAAUAUAAAUAAAACAGAAAACAUUACUUUAAAUUAUUAGUCAAAUAUAAUUAAUUAAAAAUAGACUCUCUCGUUAUUAAAUGAUAUUUUAGUCAUUUUAAUAAGACUUAACAAAAAAAGUUAAUAAGGUUUGGCCUUAGUACUCAACAUUGUGACCAAUUAGAAAGUUAAUACAUGAUCUUGCAAUAAAAAACUAUUAGUAUCCGAUAUUGAAAUUUAACAGAAACCACAAUGACCAACGGUGUAAUUUUUUCUAAUCUUCACGUAUUUAUUUAAAAAAUCUAGAAAUUCCUAUUUAAAAAAGUUAUAAGAGAUUUUACGUGUAUUGUGACUCUACCAGUCUAUCUUACUCAAAUCUCUAGUUGACCGUUCAAAAAGAAGACGCUUAUUUUUAAGCUUGGUUGAUACGAAUUUAUAGCCUAGCAAAAAUAAUUAAUGUAUGUAGAGCAUUUAUGCUCAAACAUAUAAAACAUAGGUCGCUAAGGCUAUUUGGUAUGGUGGACAAAUGUAAUGAGUCGUUUUCUGCUAUGUGUCUGUUACGUAAGCAGAGAGGGUUUUGCCCUCCAAAACCCUAAAACCAUAGGAUAGUGAGCAAGGACAAAGGGUAUUUUCAUCACACUACGUGUCACCCUAUCAUUUGUCAACUUGAAAAAGUCAAGCCAAACUCAAGGAGCAUAUCCCCCCACGCCCGUGAGAAACUCCAAGCCUCCAAGGGGCAACGCCGGUCGAAAUGCUGGAGGAGGUGGUGUGUGGAGCCCCCCCUCCCCCCGCCAGGGAUAAGCUAAUGUAUAAAGUGUACUUAACUUACAAAGUGUAAAAAGUAAUUAUAUAUAAGGAACUCAACUCAAAAUUACGGAUGAAGAAAUAAUAUGGAAAAUUACGCACUAAUGAAAUCAAAAUUACACAACAGGGAAAUAACAAAUGAAAAUUACGUAUGAAGGAAAUCCAAAAUUACAUCACCUAAAAAAUCAUUUGUAUACUUUUGUACGCUAACAACCCUUUGUAUAUAAACCUUUUAUGAAACUCAAUGAUAGUGUUUAGUUUGUCAUGUUUUUGAAACUUACCAUUCAUAAGUUAACAUUUUCGCUAAUAAUAUAAUUUUUAACUUAAAAAUGUUGCAAUCGACUACUUUUAAGAAAAAUAAGGGUGUUACACUUUAUUAGGGGUGUGCAAGGUUCGGUUCAGUUUUAUAGUAAAACCAAACUGUAACUGAAAUGUCCGGUUUUUGGUUUUUUAAAAUCGUUAAGUUUCAGAUUUUUCACUUUUAGCAAAGGUUUGGUUCAGCUUUUCAGUUUUUUUUUUUUUUUUUUUUUUUUGGGUUUUUUUCGGUUUUUGGAACAAAAUUAUGUAAGAUUAAAAAAUAAAUAGUA
rnacentral:lncRNA from 1 species